UAUUUUUUUUUCAUAGACAUAAUAGUCACCUCACGGUAGGGAGAAAUACAUGGGUGGUGGGUUUGUAUUUUUUAGCAAGCGAGACAGAGAUUUUCGCAAUAGGAAACUAACUACAAAAUAGUAACCAUUUAUUUCAGCUGUAAGAAAUACAAUCGGCACAACCCUGUCCUGUCAUUGAAGUUUGCAAUUUUUAUUUUUGGCAAUUUGACAUUGACAUUAUUGCCAAUAAACAGAAAAUUUUAUAAAAAUAAUGCAAUUCUGAAAAAAAAGUUAUGAAUCAAAUCAAUAAAGUAUGUUUUAAAGUUCGACGGUAGUUUAAAUUUAUUUUAAGUAUCACGAGGCAUCUAAAAUUCACAAGUUUGAUUGAAUUAAAUUGUUUAGAUUGACUACAAGCAGUAGUAUUUAUAGUUGGAAAACUUACUAGAAUGAAUCCGACUGCUCACAUGCCUCCCCAACCUCGUGAACGGCAGGCGCCGCCUGAGCCCCGAGCUCGGCAACCACCGCCAAUCCCUCGGCGCGCCAACGCCCUGCCUCCGCCUCAGCCAAGGGAGCGUCAACCGCCUCCACCCCCGCGUGAGCGCCACGCUCCUCCGCCGCCGAGGGAACGACAAGCACCUCCAACUCCAAACCAUUAAUCUUAUCUCAUCAUUUCAGUAUGCUAUUUGAUGAUAACUAGAGUCAAUGUUUACAGGUUGCUCGGUAAAAUUUGACUAAAUCUACUUACGUUAUUGCAUUUUUUUUCUAUUAAUCAAGCUAGGCUGCUUAAAUUACCAAUUACAUACCAAAUUAGGUAUAAUAACCUAAGUCUGACUAGGUUUAAAAAUGUACAUGAUAUAUUUUCUAUCGAGACCCACUCAUUGGUCUUUUCAAAAUGAGUAAUGUUAUUCUUUUUAAAAACAAACUAUUUUUAUUUAGGCUAUAAAUUAAACACUGCACUUUUUUAUGUGUCAUAAAUAUUGUGAUACAUACUUUGAGUCAUAUAUGAUUAAGUACAAAAUGGUGAGGUUAUCUUUGAUAAAAAAUCUUUUACUAAUUGUGACUUAGUAACGGACUGAAAGUAUAAUAUUUUAUAUGGAAAUCUAUUAAAAUUGUGAUAACUACCAUUAGUCUUGUUGUUGUAUCAAAUAAAAACAUGUUUAUAAAGUUACAUACUUAGUAUAACAUUGUGUUAUUUAUAAAAAGUGUUUGGACUUUUAAAUUUUAAUACAUUUUUUACAAAUUAAAA